UACGAAGGGGGCUAGCGUUGCUCGGAAUCACUGGGCGUAAAGCGCACGUAGGCGGAUCUUUAAGUCAGGGGUGAAAUCCUGGAGCUCAACUCCAGAACUGCCUUUGAUACUGGGGAUCUCGAGUCCGGAAGAGGUGAGUGGAACUCCGAGUGUAGAGGUGAAAUUCGUAGAUAUUCGCAAGAACACCAGUAGCGAAGGCGGCUCACUGGCCCGAUACUGACGCUGAGGCACGAAAGCGUGGGGAGCAAACAGG
rnacentral:rRNA from 1 species